CUCUCUGACUCUGACUGGCCUAUUUCUCUGUUGUCCAGGGCGGGCUCCUCCGGCGGCAAGGUGCUCCGGCAGUCCGGCGUGAAGGUGCUCCGGCGUGCCCCUGCUGAUCUCCUCCUCGUGCAAAAACAACAUCAGCAACCAGGUAUUGGUUCCCCUCCCUCCCCCAAUUGCAUCUUCAUGAACAAAUGCAUGUUCUGUUACAUAUUUGGUUCAGUUUGCAUCUGUCCAUUACUUUGUAAUUUUAUUUGAAUCAAUUGUGAUGGACACAGCAGCAAGUGUAUGAGAUAUGAUCAUGGAUUUGGUUGGAAAUAAGGCUGACGUACAUAAAAAACUGCAUUUUGGAAAAUGGGGACCCCCUGGUUUGGUUCUGUAACCUAGAGUUGGUACUUGACCCCCUGGUUGGAAAUAAGGCCGCCCCAUUUUUGCUCUGUUCUCAAAUUAUGUAGGUUUGUGUUGUCGGGAGGGAACUUGACCCCCUGAUUUGGUUCUGUAACCUUGAGUUGGUACUUGUUGACACUGCUUUUGUUUCUGUUUUCGCUUCAAAAAUAAAUAAAUGCAUUUUGUCUACCCGGGUGUUCAUGUGCUGCAAGAAUACCAAACUAAUGAAAUAGCACGCUGGCUAAAUACAAGUGUUCAUGAGCUGCAAGAGUUCCCUAUCUGCUAGAUGUUUACUGAAAAUGGUCACUUGGUUUUACUUCUGAUGCAAAUCCUUGAUUCCACCGAGAGGGCCAUGGAGCAUAUAUGAAUUUCCUCUUUGUGCUCUCUGCCAACAUCUCUUUAGAAGAAAUUAUUUGCCCCCCUUACAAGUUAAAGGCACAAGCAAACAUUACAAAUGCUAGAAUUCAUACAUAUAUUGUAAUCUAGUGAAUAAGUCAUUGUCAAUUAUAUGUUAAGCUUGUGGAAAUACAAGUGUUGUCACUUUAAAUACAAAAGGAGUGGCCAGAGCACGUAUCUGGUUGCGUGUGGUGUCCACGCUCCCUUCGCGACCAUAUCCACAUAAGGGUCUCAUUGUCAAACCAGUCGGUGUGAGGGCCUUGGUGGUUCUUGGAGAAGACAUAAAGGUGCCACGCCAGCCAAGCAGCAUCAUUGGAUGUCUUUGCAGGCAUUAUUACCCUGGCCUGGUCCCCAUAGGAGACGGCGAGGAGGAGCUUGCUUGGUCUUGGGAGCAUUGGAAACGCGCUCCGGAUACCGAAGACAAGUGGGGCAGGGUAUACAGCAGUGCUGCUGAGCGGGUGGUCAACAAUUUUUGGGUAAAAUUCUUUGUCAAUUUUCAUAGUUAUUCUUUGUCCAAGGUAUGCCCUACAAGGCGCGCGUCCAUGCCGUGGUGAAGUAUUUCGCGCACGAACGCAAAAUGCUUCUCAAUAAGCCUCUAGCCCGGAGAGUGCAUCUCACCUGUUCAAUGUACAUGAAGGCGGUUCCCUCGUGGUGCAACAACAAGAUUACUUGCUACCAGCAAAUCAUAUCCAGGUGGAUAGACCCGGAGUGGUGGGCUGAGCAUAGAAUGGCUAAGGACCGGCAUGCCUUGAUGGGUGGUAUGGUACACCUUCAAGGCAACCUCAACCUCCACGCUUACGUGCAGAAGAAGAAUAGGGAGAGAGGUGAGGGCGAAGAGCCGCCCAAUACAUUCACGGGAUUAUGUCUCUCUCGCAAGUCAAAGAAACCAGAAGGGGGUGGGUCAACCGAGGUGCUGGCUUGAGGAUUGAUGCAUACAGUAGGAAGUUCAAGGAGCACAACGGGCCCGACUCUGAUCCGGCCUCAAGGUAUAUUGAUGCUACGAUUUCCGUCCAGUCAGGACAAGGCAAGAAGUGUGGCCGGUUAUACGUUGGCGAUGGUGCCAUCCGUAAGGACAUUCCAAAACUCUCCCACCUCCGUGCUACCACGUCGAGCUCAGGUCCUGCUAUAGAGUGUCGCCCACAACCUGGGUUGCACAUGCUCUAUCAAUUCGAGGCCCGCCUAGAGAAAGAAACCAGGUUGAGGGAGGAGGCUCAGGCGAAUGCCCUGCUUAAAUAGGAGCAAGCCAUGAAAAUGCAGCAACCCCUGUUUUAACAGCAGCAAUUCAUGGCUGCACAGCAGGCAGCCCUGCAGGAGGCGUUUGCUCAGUUCAGAGCUAAUAUGCAGGGUUCCACUUUGUCGGAUCUUCCUCCACUUCCACCUCUUCCUACUUUCAACUUUGUGCUCUUAGUCGGGACAAGGCUCCAAUAACUGUGUGGUAGGUGGACCUACACCUGGCCAAGCAAGCCCAGUGACACCCACUACGGCUCAUGUCGCUUCGAUCUCCCCGCAACAAUGAUCACUCGAGGGUUGCAUCGUGGAUGCCGUUGACGGUGGACAUACAUGCUCCGGUGGAGCUCAUUGCAUCUUUUAGGUUCAUGCUUGGUGCGAACUUGGAACUCAUGGUCCUUUCAUUUGUGAACUUCUGGUUAUAUGUAUGUUGUUGUGAACCUUCCUUGGAUAUGUAUGCAUGUGUGGACUUGGAACUCACGGUCCUUUCGUUUAUGAACUCUUGUUGCAUAUGUAUGCAUGUGUGGACUUUGAACUAAUGGUCCUUUCAUUUGUUAUGGUUGUCAACUUGUAAUAUAUUGUUGUUGUGAACCUUCAUUGAA